AAUACUUGACCAAGAGUGUCGUAAGGGUGCGUAACACGUAUGCAAUCUGCCCCCAACAGGAGGAUAGCUCGGGGAAACUCGAAUUAACCCUCCAUAAGAUCACGCGAGGGCAUCUGAGAGUGAUUAAAACUGAGGUGGUUGGGGAUGAGCAUGCUUCUGAUUAGUUAGGGGGCCCGGUAACGGCCUACCAAAGGCGAUGAUCAGUAGGGGAACUGAGAGGUUGAUCCCCCACACUGGCACUGAGAUACGGGCCAGACUCCUACGGGAGGCAGCAGUAGGGAAUAUUGGACAAUGGGUGAGAGCCUGAUCCAGCCAUGCCGCGUGCAGGAAGAAGGCCUUCUGGGUUGUAAACUGCUUUUAUCUGGGGAUAAAAAGAGCGUGCGCGCUCAAUUGAAGGUACCAGAGGAAUAAGCCACGGCUAACUACGUGCCAGCAGCCGCGGUAAUACGUAGGUGGCAAGCGUUGUCCGGAAUUAUUGGGCGUAAAGAGCUCGUAGGUGGUUAGAUACGUCGGAUGUGAAAAUCAGGGGCUCAACCCCUGACCUGCAUUCGAUACGGUCUAGCUAGAGUGUGGUAGGGGAGACUGGAAUUCCUGGUGUAGCGGUGGAAUGCGCAGAUAUCAGGAGGAACACCGAUGGCGAAGGCAGGUCUCUGGGCCAUUACUGACACUGAGGAGCGAAAGCGUGGGGAGCGAACAGGAUUAGAUACCCUGGUAGUCCACGCCGUAAACGGUGGGCGCUAGUUGUGCGAACCUUCCACGGUUUGUGCGACGCAGCUAACGCAUUAAGCGCCCCGCCUGGGGAGUACGAUCGCAAGAUUAA
rnacentral:rRNA from 1 species